AGAGUUUGAUCAUGGCUCAGAUUGAACGCUGGCGGCAGGCCUAACACAUGCAAGUCGAGCGCGAAAGGGUUUCGGCCUGAGUAGAGCGGCGAACGGGUGAGUAACGCGUGGGAAUCUGCCUGAUAGUGGGGGACAACAUCUCGAAGGGAUGCUAAUACCGCAUACGCCCUAAGGGGGAAAGUGGGGGAUCUUCGGACCUCACGCUAACAGAGGAGCCCGCGUCGGAUUAGCUAGUAGGUAGGGUAAAGGCCUACCUAGGCGACGAUCCGUAACUGGUCUGAGAGGAUGAUCAGUCACACUGGAACUGAGACACGGUCCAGACUCCUACGGGAGGCAGCAGUGGGGAAUAUUGGACAAUGGGGGCAACCCUGAUCCAGCCAUGGCCGCGUGUGUGAAGAAGGCCUUCGGGUUGUAAAGCACUUUAAGUUGGGAGGAAGGCUUGAUGGCUAAUACCCAUCAGGAUUGACGUUACCAACAGAAUAAGCACCGGCUAGCUCCGUGCCAGCAGCCGCGGUAAUACGGAGGGUGCAAGCGUUAAUCGGAAUUACUGGGCGUAAAGCGCGCGUAGGCGGCCUUUUAAGCUAGAUGUGAAAUCCCCGGGCUUAACCUGGGAAUGGCAUUUAGAACUGUAAGGCUAGAGUAUGGAAGAGGAGUGUGGAAUUUCCGGUGUAGCGGUGAAAUGCGUAGAGAUCGGAAGGAACAUCAGUGGCGAAGGCGACACUCUGGUCCAAUACUGACGCUGAGGUGCGAAAGC
rnacentral:rRNA from 1 species